rnacentral:rRNA from 1 species
UACGUAGGCAGCGAGCGUUGUUCGGAAUUACUGGGCGUAAAGAGUGUGUAGGCGGUGCUCUAAGUUCGGUGUGAAAUCUCCCGGCUUAACUGGGAGGGUGCGCCGGAAACUGGAGUGCUCGAGCGUGGGAGAGGAAAGCGGAAUACCUGGUGUAGCGGUGAAAUGCGUAGAUAUCAGGAGGAACACCUGCGGUGUAGACGGCUUUCUGGACCAUUGCUGACGCUGAGACACGAAAGCGUGGGUAGCAAACAGG